rnacentral:lncRNA from 1 species
AUUUACCUCUGUAAACAAGCCGAGCUUCGUGAUUAUUAUAUAGGAUGAGUAUCUAAGCAGAAGUGUUUCUGGUUUUAGGGGAUUUGGUCUGCGAGAGUGUGACAAAUGACUUCUGGAGAAUUGUCCCAGUUUCCUCGCCUAUGUGUAGUUUUUCUUUGACUAACUUCUUUUUCUAAUGCUUUUUGAUAAUCAUCAUCUCAGAUAUUCACUGAUAUUUCACAGUCUUCCCCUCAGCACCUAGUUAGUGCUCAAGAAAUACCUGCUGAAUGAAUUUCCCAUCACGGGAUGAGACCCUGCAACGUCGGUUCCCGUAUACAAACAGUCAGUUUGGGAGGUCAGGCCUACAGGAAUAAUGGAUAAUACCAUAUUUAACCCUCCUGACAACUUAAUGAAACACAUCAUGUCCCACCUUGAGAGGAGGGAAUGAAGGCAAGAAAGAAGUAACUUGGCCAAAAUGGCACAGCUAGUGGCAGCCGAGCAGGGACUCAAAGCUGGGCUACUUGAUUGCAGGGCCUGUAUUUCCAACUACUGUAUUAUGGCGAUUCUCAAUCACAUCUAUGCUAUAUCAAGCUUAAUGCACGAUAAAUGGUGAAACUUAAGAAUGCAAUUUCCAGGAGUGGAGGUCUAAAGGAUGAGAAGAAUCCAGAUAGCACAGCAGUUGGAUGUGGAGAGAAUGUCUGUCCAGAACUGUGGCACACUCCUAGCUGUCGGCCUUUGGAAACACUGUGUUCAGGGGGUUUCAUCACCACAACCUCCCUUACAAGCUCCCACAACCCCGAUUUCUGUGUCGGCCCACGUUUCUGUGCUGUCCAGGCUCUGCUGAAGUCUGCUAUGUGAACAGCACCUGGCUGAGAGGGUGCCGGCCUUGUAGUCCUAAAAGUGAUGCAGGAUUGGAAUUCCCAAUGAAGACCUACGUUGGGGAUCCUCUCCAUAGAAGGUCUUCCAAGAACUUUUCAGAUCAUCUCGGCUACUGUGACUGCCAAGAGCAAUGGGAAGGGGCUAGUGGCAGGGAAGAAUAAUUCCAUUUUCCAAACUAAUGCUCUUAAAUUUGAAAUGUGCAAAAAUGUGGUUGCAUCACAUGUGCUAACCUGCCCUGAGAAUAAGACUGUG